UAUUCUCUCUUGAUUUCUCAAGACCGGGAGACUGAAAACCUCCUAUUGUAUUUUCAACUAAGAGAAC
rnacentral:tRNA from 1 species